AUAUCAAUAAGCGGAGGAAAAGAAACCAACAGGGAUUGCCCUAGUAACGGCGAGUGAAGCGGCAACAGCUCAAAUUUGAAAUCUGGCCUCGGCCCGAGUUGUAAUUUGCAGAGGAAGCUUUGGGCGCGGCACCGACCGAGUCCCCUGGAACGGGGCGCCAUAGAGGGUGAGAGCCCCGUAUGGUCGGACGCCUAGCCUGUGUAAAGCUCCUUCGACGAGUCGAGUAGUUUGGGAAUGCAGCUCAAAAUGGGUGGUAAAUUCCAUCUAAAGCUAAAUAUUGGCGAGAGACCGAUAGCGAACAAGUACCGUGAGGGAAAGAUGAAAAGCACUUUGGAAAGAGAGUGAAACAGUACGUGAAAUUGUUGAAAGGGAAGCGUUUGGAGUCAGUCGCGUCUGGCGGGAUUCAGCCUUGCUUCUGCUCGGUGUAUUUCCUGUCCGAUGGGUCAGUGUCGAUUUUGACUGAGGGAGAAAGGCUUGGGGAAUGUGGCCGUCUUCGGGCGGUGUUAUAGCCCCUUGUUGUAUGUCUCAGUUGGGAUCGAGGAACGCAGCGUGCCUUUUGGCCGGGGAUCGCUCCCUCGGUACACGCUUAGGACACUGGCAAAAUGGCUUUAAGCGA
rnacentral:rRNA from 1 species